rnacentral:rRNA from 1 species
GUGUUUAACGGCCGCGGUAUUUUAACCGCGCGAAGGUAGCGUAAUCACUUGUCUUUUAAAUGGAGACCUGUAUGAAUGGCAUAACGAGGGUUUGACUGUCUCCUCCACCCAGUCAAUGAAAUUGAUCUGCCCGUGCAGAAGCGGGCAUAAGCACAUAAGACGAGAAGACCCUAUGGAGCUUUAGGCAAAUGACCAGGCAAAACAAGUCACGGCCCUUAAUAAGCCUAGAAAAACAAAAGCUAAUGAUCAAAAUGCCUUCGGUUGGGGCGACCAUGGAGGAAACAAAAUCCUCCAAGCGGAUAAGGGACAACCCUUGAACCAAGAGAGACACCUCGAAGUAACAGAAUUUAUGACCAACUAUGACCCAGGAUUUAACCUGAUCAACGGACCUAGUUACCCUAGGGAUAACAGCGCAAUCCUCUCCCAGAGUCCCUAUCGACGAGGGGGUUUACGACCUCGAUGUUGGAUCAGGACAUCCUAAUGGUGCAGCCGCUAUUAAGGGUUCGUUUGUUCAACGAUAG